CCUACGGGAGGCAGCAGUGAGGAAUAUUGGUCAAUGGGCGGAAGCCUGAACCAGCCAAGUAGCGUGCAGGAUGACUGCCCUACGGGUUGUAAACUUCUUUUAUACGGGAAUAACGCGCCUUACGUGUAGGGCUUUGCAUGUACCGGAUGAAUAAGGACCGGCUAAUUCCGUGCCAGCAGCCGCGGUAAUACGGAAGGUCCGGGCGUUAUCCGGAUUUAUUGGGUUUAAAGGGAGCGUAGGCCGCAUGUCAAGCGUGCUGUGAAAUGUCCGGGCUCAACCCGGGCCUUGCAGCGCGAACUGGCGAGCUUGAGUGCGCGGGAAGCAGGCGGAAUUCGUCGUGUAGCGGUGAAAUGCUUAGAUAUGACGCAGAACCCCGAUUGCGAAGGCAGCUUGCUGCAGCGGAACUGACGCUGAUGCUCGAAAGCGCGGGUAUCGAACAGGAUUAGAUACCCCAGUAGUC
rnacentral:rRNA from 1 species